rnacentral:rRNA from 1 species
AACGAACGCUGGCGGCGUGCUUAACACAUGCAAGUCGAGCGAGAAAGGGAGCUUCGGCACCUGAGUAAAGCGGCGCACGGGUGAGUAACACGUGGGUAACCUGCCUUUCAGUGGGGGAUAACAGCCCGAAAGGGCUGCUAAUACCGCAUUCGUCCACACGGUCACAUGUCUGUGUGGAGAAAGAGGCGCAAGUCUCGCUGGAAGAUGGGCCCGCGGUCCAUUAGCUAGUUGGUGGGGUAAAGGCCUACCAAGGCUUCGAUGGAUAGCUGGUCUGAGAGGAUGAUCAGCCACACUGGAACUGAGACACGGUCCAGACUCCUACGGGAGGCAGCAGUGGGGAAUAUUGCGCAAUGGGCGAAAGCCUGACGCAGCAACGCCGCGUGUGUGAUGAAGGCC